CCUACGGGAGGCUGCAGUGGGGAAUAUUGCACAAUGGGCGCAAGCCUGAUGCAGCCAUGCCGCGUGUGUGAAGAAGGCCUUCGGGUUGUAAAGCACUUUCAGCGGGGAGGAAGGCGUUAAGGUUAAUAACCUUGGCGAUUGACGUUACCCGCAGAAGAAGCACCGGCUAACUCCGUGCCAGCAGCCGCGGUAAUACGGAGGGUGCAAGCGUUAAUCGGAAUUACUGGGCGGAAAGCGCACGCAGGCGGUCUGUCAAGUCGGAUGUGAAAUCCCCGGGCUCAACCUGGGAACUGCAUUCGAAACUGGCAGGCUAGAGUCUUGUAGAGGGGGGUAGAAUUCCAGGUGUAGCGGUGAAAUGCGUAGAGAUCUGGAGGAAUACCGGUGGCGAAGGCGGCCCCCUGGACAAAGACUGACGCUCAGGUGCGAAAGCGUGGGGAGCGAACAGGAUUAGAUACCCCAGUAGUC
rnacentral:rRNA from 1 species